rnacentral:rRNA from 1 species
UACGUAGGGUGCGAGCGUUAAUCGGAAUUACUGGGCGUAAAGCGUGCGCAGGCGGUUCGUUAAGUCAGCUGUGAAAGCCCCCGGGCUUAACCUGGGAAUGGCGGUUGAAACUGGCGAACUUGAAUCUGGCAGAGGGGAGGGUGAAUUCCACGUGUAGCAGUGAAAUGCGUAGAGAUGUGGAGGAACACCGAUGGCGAAGGCAGCCCCCUGGGCUGAGAUUGACGCUCAGGCACGAAAGCGUGGGGAGCAAACAGG